UCAUACCUUCUCGGCCUUUUGGCUAAGAUCAAGUGUAGUAUCUGUUCUUAUCAGUGUGAAAACUGGUAUCUUCCCUACUGGGA
rnacentral:snRNA from 1 species